rnacentral:rRNA from 1 species
UACGGAGGGUGCAAGCGUUAUCCGGAUUCACUGGGUUUAAAGGGUGCGUAGGCGGAUUAGUAAGUCCGUGGUGAAAUCUCCAAGCUUAACUUGGAAACUGCCGUGGAUACUAUUAGUCUUGAAUGUUGUGGAGGUUAGCGGAAUAUGUCAUGUAGCGGUGAAAUGCAUAGAUAAUGACAUAGAACACCAAUUGCGAAGGCAGCUGGCUACACAAAUAUUGACGCUGAUGCACGAAAGCGUGGG